AGAGGUUACCGUCCAGGUUGGACAGCAGCACCGUUGAGCGAUGGCGGCAUCUGGGGAACCCCGGAGGCAGUGGCAAGAGGAGGUGGCGGCGGUGGUAGUGGUGGGCUCCUGCAUGACCGACCUGGUCAGUCUUACUUCUCGUUUGCCAAAAACUGGAGAAACCAUCCAUGGACAUAAGUUUUUUAUUGGCUUUGGAGGCAAAGGAGCCAACCAGUGUGUCCAAGCUGCUCGGCUUGGAGCAACGACGUCCAUGGUGUGUAAGGUUGGCAAAGAUUCUUUUGGCAGUGAUUAUAUAGAGAACUUAAAACAGAAUGAUAUUUCUACAGAAUUUACGUAUCAGACUAAAGAUGCUGCUACAGGAACUGCUUCUAUAAUUGUCAAUAAUGAAGGCCAGAAUAUCAUUGUCAUAGUGGCUGGAGCAAAUUUACUUUUGAAUACUGAGGAUCUGAGGGUAGCAGCGAAUGUCAUUAGCAGAGCCAAAGUCAUGGUCUGCCAGCUUGAAAUAACUCCAGCAACUUCUUUGGAAGCCCUAACAAUGGCCCGCAGGAGUGGAGUGAAAACCUUGUUCAAUCCAGCCCCUGCCAUUGCUGACCUGGAUCCCCGGUUCUACACCCUCUCAGAUGUGUUCUGCUGCAAUGAAAGUGAGGCUGAGAUUUUAACUGGCCUCACGGUGGGCAGCACUGCAGAUGCUGGGGAGGCUGCAUUAGUGCUCUUGAAAAGGGGCUGCCAGGUGGUAAUCAUUACCUUAGGGGCUGAGGGAUGUGUGGUGCUGUCACAGACAGAACCUGAACCAAAGUACAUUCCCACUGAGAAAGUCAAGGCUGUGGAUACCACGCUGCGCAGCCUCUUCGUAAAUCUGAUAAAGAGAAGAUAAUUCGCGUGGCGAGUGAGGAGCUCCCAGGGAGGCAUUUUCUUCUGAACAAAUGGGCUCCUUCACUUUUCUGUCAGGAGGGUAUUACUUGCUCUCAGUCGGGGUGUCUGGACCUUCAAGGAGGAAACUCAGUGCUCAUUGCCACACAUUAACCACUGCAGAGAGAUCGAAAAGAAAAGCCCUCAAGAAAAUCAGAUCUGCGGAAACCAAGAUUUACAGACCAAACCAGUUAAUGCAAGUUUGUCCAACACAAAUUUGUAAACUUUCUUAAAACGUUAUGAGAAUUUUUCUGCAAUGUUUUUUAACCUCAUCAGCUAUCGUUAGUGUAUUUUAUGGCCCAAGACAAUUCUUCUUCCAGUGUGGCCCAGAGAAGCCAAAAGAUUAGACACCCCUGAAUGUAUCUGUGUUUGAGAAGAAUGUGGAUGGAUUUUUACCUUAGAGAUUAGCCUUUACAAACAACUUCAUCAUAGGAUUCUUUUUUUUUUUUUAAGUCAAGGUCUCACUGUCACC